AUCCUGGCUCAGAUUGAACGCUGGCGGCAUGCUUUACACAUGCAAGUCGAACGGCAGCACGGGCUUCGGCCUGGUGGCGAGUGGCGAACGGGUGAGUAAUGCAUCGGAACGUGCCCAUUUGUGGGGGAUAACUACGCGAAAGCGUGGCUAAUACCGCAUACGCCCUGAGGGGGAAAGCGGGGGAUUCUUCGGGAACCUCGCGCAAUUGGAGCGGCCGAUGUCAGAUUAGCUUGUUGGUGAGGUAAAGGCUCACCAAGGCGACGAUCUGUAGCGGGUCUGAGAGGAUGAUCCGCCACACUGGGACUGAGACACGGCCCAGACUCCUACGGGAGGCAGCAGUGGGGAAUUUUGGACAAUGGGGGCAACCCUGAUCCAGCCAUGCCGCGUGAGUGAAGAAGGCCUUCGGGUUGUAAAGCUCUUUCAGCCGGGAAGAAAACGCACUCUCUAACAUAGGGUGUGGAUGACGGUACCGGAAGAAGAAGCACCGGCUAACUACGUG
rnacentral:rRNA from 1 species